rnacentral:rRNA from 1 species
AACGAACGCUGGCGGCGUGGAUAAGACAUGCAAGUCGAACGGGAUUACUUUUGUAGCAAUACAGAAGUAAUUCAGUGGCGAACGGGUGCGUAACACGUGGGCAAUCUGCCGAGAAGUCGGGGAUAGCUCGCCGAAAGGCGAAUUAAUACCGCAUAUGAUCAGGGACGACAUCUUCCCAACAUCAAAGCCGGGGCAACCUGGCGCUUUUUGAGGAGCCCGCGGCCUAUCAGCUAGUUGGUGAGGUAACGGCCCACCAAGGCUAUGACGGGUAGCUGGUCUGAGAGGACGACCAGUCACACUGGAACUGAGACACGGUCCAGACACCUACGGGUGGCAGCAGUCGAGAAUUUUUCUCAAUGGGGGCAACCCUGAAGGAGCGACGCCGCGUGGAGGAUGAAGGCUUUC